ensembl:snoRNA Snord110 small nucleolar RNA, C/D box 110
UUGCAGUGAUGACUUGUGAGUCUGUCAAUCCCCUGAGUAUGAUCACUGAUGUCUCCAUGUCUCUGAGCAA